ACUCUCCCAGGUUCACACCUGGAGAGUUUCCAGAACUCUACCAGUCUCGACUACAGGAGGAAGAGUCAAGCAGAGGCCUGUCCAUUCCAUUCCUAGCUUGGCCAGUGGCUAACAAGUGGAAGGCCAUCUGCUUCAAGU
rnacentral:snoRNA from 1 species